UCGCCUGCGUGCCACACCGUCGCCACCUCUCCCACACGUUGAUGAAGAGGUAAGCCGUUGUCUGUACUCCAGCUUCAUAGUGACACACAAGGAGCAGCAGCUACUGCUAGUGAGUCCCGCUUCCUUCUCUCUGUAUCUUGUGCCAAACCAAAAGGUGCACAAGACAUGUUUGAUGAAAUGGCUAGCUGAAGAUAGAACUGUUGUUAAAUCAUGUUUCCCUUUGGUUUAAUUUUUCUUUGUUAAUGUUCUAUUAUUUGCCCAAUUAUUUACUGCGCAAAAUACCUCCAUCCCAAACACUUUUAUCGUGGAGUGGGGAAAAGUUAUAAUUUUUCUAUAAGCACUUUAUAAUUGGCUAGAAAAUAGGAAAAGAAAAAGAGAAAAAACAAGAUGUAGCAGUGCAUUGAAACACAACGUCUACUAGUGCUUCUCUUUUGAUUGAGAUAUUCCCAACAUUUCUUUGCCCAGGAUGUGUUUGCGUUCAUAUAUGUAAGGAAACUGUUGUAGCUAAGUGUUCACUUUGAUUUUCCUUUGCUUCACGCUGUGACGUACAUAGUCUGAUGUGCUUAUAUAUUUUUCCUGAACUUAUAAGUAGAUGGUCCGCUGUAUUCAUGAUCUCCUAGUGCUUGUUGCUAGGUCUGUCUCUCUUUCCGCCCCUGCUCACCGUCCUGUGCGGCAAUGGACGCGACUACUUGAGGGAACGAAGCCCGUCCUCCCAGCACCGGUAGUCUCCCUGCACCCUGCAAAAAAUUAAAUAAAUCGUAAGUUCAUAAUCAAGAAACCAUGAAGUUCAAAGACAACAAAGGUACAACAAUGUUGAUGGCGAUUGAAGAAGGAUCCCGGAAAUAUUAUUAUUGGGACCGUAGGCCAAGUUUUAUGCAUGGUGUGAGAGGAUUCCAGGAAUUGUUCUGAAGCGGUCGAUGGCUUUCGAGAGAUGCGAUCAUAUCUCACAAGUUUCCAAGGGGUUCAACAUCAUUUAUAUAAGAAGGAAAUGUCAAAGGUUCAGAUGGCAACACACUUAAAAAUACUGGUGAAAAAUCUGAACAUGUAUAGUGCAAUCAUGGGAAAAAGCUUGAAUUUUUAUCGCUUGACCUGUGCUGAUCUCUCCUAUAGUUUUUGUUAUGCGUUCUUCAUUGAGUGGUACAACUGAACAUAUCCAUGGGAGAUCCAUGCUAUGGUACAGAUUUGUGAAAUUACUUUGUACUCAUUAGUAUUAUUUCAUUGUGGGUAAUGGGCGCAUGACUUCAUGUGUUCACUAUUUAUUUUUUCGCUUGAUUUGUAGCCAAAUUAUUUAUUAAUAUUGUGAUUCGAGUGCCUUGUGCA